CAGUAAGUUAGUUUGAGUCGUACAUGCUGUCUCUUGGGUCUGCACGGUUAGGAUCAAGUCAAGGUGAUAGUCCUUCGAGUUAGGAUCGUGUGGGUUCAAAUGGAGGUCGAUUUGGCUUAGAAAUGAAUCAGUUAUGAAUUUACUUGGUGAGUGUGCGCCGGUUUGCUGCCUGUGCACGACCAGUAAGUUGGUUUGAGUAGUACAUGCCAUUUUCUUGGGUCUUCACGGUUAGGAUCAAGUCCAAAUGAUAGUCCUUCGAGUUAGGGUCGUGUGAGUUCAAACGGGGAGCGAUUUGGCUUAGAAAUGAAUAAGUUAUGAAUUUUACGGUAAAAUCACUCAAACUGCAUAUUGUCAAGGCAUAAUUGAGCAAGAGGAGUUUUUGGGUUCCUAGCGACAGCAAUUUACAUGGAAUGAUUAUUUCGAUUGUCAAGCAUGACUUAUGAUGUUUCAAUAGUUAUUUCAAAACUUUAGUUUGAAAAAAAAAACAAAGGGUUUUGAGAUUUGAGGCGAGGAAAAAAUAAUUUUUUUAUAGGGUGACUUGAAUGUAGUGUUCUUUGACGGAUAUGGGGCCAAGAGUCAUCUCGUUUAGCCAUAUCAAAUUGAGGCGUAGUGGACUUCGGACAAACACUGGGGUGCCCUACACUUGACAGGUAUAGAUUCCAGAAAAGUAAUGGGAUGCCAUAUCAGCCUGGUACCAUGGUUUGACAGAGCUUGAUCAAGCGACAUGAGGUUGAGUGGAGAGCAUGAACCAGAGGCGGAGGGGCAGGAUUCUUGAGCGGACUGUAUGGAAGCAAGCCACUCGACCCAGUGACCCCUAUGUUUUCCGCAUGAUUUUCUUUUGGAGUGUUGAGGGACGUUAAAAUAAAAAAGAUAUUUUUUCUUUUACUUCUUUAUGAUUAUCGUAUUAGUUUGAGUUUGACUGGU